rnacentral:rRNA from 1 species
AUUGAACGCUGGCGGCAUGCCUUACACAUGCAAGUCGAACGGCAGCACGGGGGCAACCCUGGUGGCGAGUGGCGAACGGGUGAGUAAUACAUCGGAACGUGCCUUGAAGUGGGGGAUAACGUAGCGAAAGUUACGCUAAUACCGCAUAUUCUGUGAGCAGGAAAGCAGGGGAUCGCAAGACCUUGCGCUUUGGGAGCGGCCGAUGUCGGAUUAGCUAGUUGGUGAGGUAAAAGCUCACCAAGGCGACGAUCCGUAGCGGGUCUGAGAGGAUGAUCCGCCACACUGGGACUGAGACACGGCCCAGACUCCUACGGGAGGCAGCAGUGGGGAAUUUUGGACAAUGGGCGCAAGCCUGAUCCAGCCAUGCCGCGUGAGUGAAGAAGGCCUU